rnacentral:rRNA from 1 species
GACAGAGGUGCCGAGCGUUAGGCGGAAUCACUGGGCUUAAAGCGUGUGUAGGCGGGUCGUUAAGUGUCUUGUGAAAUCCCCCGGCUCAACCGGGGAAUGGCUGGGCAUACUGGCGAUCUUGAGCAGUCUAGGGGCAGAUGGAACAAGUGGUGGAGCGGUGAAAUGCGCAGAGAUCGGAAAGAACACCAACGGCGAAAGCACUCUGCUGGGCCGACACUGACACUGAGAGACGAAAGCUAGGGGAGCGAAUGGG